UGAACGCUGGCGGCGUGCCUAAUACAUGCACGUCGAGCGAACAGACGAGGAGCUUGCUCCUCUGACGUUAGCGGCGGACGGGUGAGUAACACGUGGAUAACCUACCUAUAAGACUGGGAUAACUUCGGGAAACCGGAGCUAAUACCGGAUAAUAUAUUGAACCGCAUGGUUCAAUAGUGAAAGACGGUUUUGCUGUCACUUAUAGAUGGAUCCGCGCCGCAUUAGCUAGUUGGUAAGGUAACGGCUUACCAAGGCAACGAUGCGUAGCCGACCUGAGAGGGUGAUCGGCCACACUGGAACUGAGACACGGUCCAGACUCCUACGGGGGGCAGCAGUAGGGAAUCUUCCGCAAUGGGCGAAAGCCUGACGGAGCAACGCCGCGUGAGUGAUGAAGGUCUUCGGAUCGUAAAACUCUGUUAUUAGGGAAGAACAAAUGUGUAAGUAACUAUGCACGUCUUGACGGUACCUAAUCAGAAAGCCACGGCUAACUACGUG
rnacentral:rRNA from 1 species